GAGGUUGUAGCUUAGUUGGUAAAGCGCAUUGCUCAUAACAAUGACAUCAAGUGUUCGAGUCACUUCAGCCUUA
rfam:Drechmeria coniospora strain ARSEF 6962 chromosome, whole genome shotgun sequence.